rnacentral:rRNA from 1 species
UACGUAGGGGGCAAGCGUUGUCCGGAUUUACUGGGCGUAAAGCGCGUGUAGGCGGAAGGUUAAGCGUGGCCUGAAAGCCCCCGGCUCAACCGGGGAGGGCGGCUGCGAACUGGCCUUCUUGAGGGCGAUAGAGGGGGGCGGAAUUCCUGGUGUAGCGGUGAAAUGCGUAGAGAUCAGGAGGAACACCCGUGGCGAAGGCGGCCCCCUGGGUCGGCCCUGACGCUGAGACGCGAAAGCGUGGGGAGCGAACGGG